rnacentral:tRNA from 2 species
GGGGGUGUAGCUCAGUUGGUAGAGCGCCUGCCUUGCAAGCAGGAGGUCACCGGUUCGAACCCGAUCAUCUCCACCA